UACGGAGGGUGCAAGCGUUAAUCGGAAUUACUGGGCGUAAAGCGUGCGCAGGCGGUUUGUUAAGUCCGUUGUGAAAGCCCCGAGCUCAACUUGGGAAUUGCAGUGGAUACUGGCAGGCUGGAGUACGGUAGAGGAAGGUGGAAUUCCCGGUGUAGCAGUGAAAUGCGUAGAUAUCGGGAGGAACACCAGUGGCGAAGGCGGCCUUCUGG
rnacentral:rRNA from 1 species